AUGUUCCAGAAUUCGUCUUCCUUGUGUGGAGAGGCGAAUAGUCGUAUAAACUUAGUAAAGAAAAGAAAAGAAACAACAAAAACAAAAGCUUCCAAAGGAGCCAUUAAAAUGGCUUUUUCUCUCAGCCCCUGUGCUGAGGGUGCGGAAGCAACGUUGGUCGCACAGGAGAGCAGCGUGUCCGAGGACCAAGAACGAGAAGAGAGGAAGUGAGGGCGGACCUUGUUCGGUCGAUUCUUAUAGCUUGAAAUGGUUCACGCCCCUUUUCGAGGGAACAUCCAAUGAACGUCCGCGAUCUGCAGCGGGAAAAAGUUCCUUUGUCUCUGUAGAAAACAACCCCCUGGUGAUCUAGGGCUUCUCCGAAUUCAUCGGGGAGUUCUAGCAAGUUUGUAAUUCCAGAUUAAAUACAUUUUUCAUUACUUUGCUCUAGAUAAAUGGGUCUGUCACAGCAUGACGAUUCGAAGAACACCAAACAGUACAUAUAUAUAUAUAUAUAUAUAACUGAUAGAAACACGAAGGUACCUUUAAAUGUAGAAUUACACACAUUAAAGAUUAACACACACUGCUAAAUUGCAGAUAGUCCCAAUUUAUAUGGGAAACAUCUAAUGUACCAGAAGGAAUACGUAAUACAUUUAUAAAACAUAAAAACAAAAAGGUAAUGAAUACAUUCCAUAGAAUGCAUUGGGGAAAAGAAACCAGUGAUUUGGCUUCUCUCCUCUCCUGUUGUCUAGGGUGGUCGUAAAGUUUUACGACCUGCAAAGGUGGGGGUUACAUACACAUGACUAUUUGAGAAAGAGUUAGGCUGAGUAGAACAUUUCCACUUAUAAGUCAGCACUUUAACCAUUUACCCAGGAUUAACCAUUUUUAUGCAAUACACAAACAUUAAAAAUACAUAUUAAUAAGGACUUACAAAAGUAAGGAACUUUACGAAAGGUUUCCUUUGUCUCCAGUGUGUUUGAGGAAUUGGGGGGGGGGGGUGUUCAGGUCUCCUUUGAAGCUCGCAUGGGUAUUGUAAAAUAAUUCAAGUCCAGCCAGGCUGGCGCCAGGCACUUUUGGUGCACAAAGGGUUUCAUGCCUGAAUUUAACCCAUGAUCUGCAUAUCCGUUACAGGGUCAUAAACAAUUUAAAUCCAGAGUUUGGUUUAUAUGCAUGAAUUCAAAAGCUAAAAGCUUUGGGUUUUAGCCAAGGAAGGUGUUUUAGAUUCAACGAACCAUAAUUCAUUAACCAAUGAAUGCAUGAAUGAAUGAACUGCGCAUACAUUACAACACGUAUAGCCAAUUCUUUUUCUCAGCUCUACAUAAAUAAAUUUUGAGAUUCUUACUUAGCCUAAUGAGUAAUUAAAAUCCAACAAAUAAUUCACAUUUCUCCCAAUCAGAUACAAAACCGGAAUUUAAUCACAAGUUAUUUGCAUAGCCUAAAUCAUUUUGACAAGUUAUAAGAAAUGGAUAUGAAUAUUAUGGACACAAACUGAACUUGGUUAAUACCACAUAUUUGGUUUAGAGCCUAUGGUAAAAGUAUGUAUUAUUUAAAAUAAUACUAAUAAUAAUGAAACUUUAAACAGCACAUUCUAUAUUUGAGUGUGACUGAAACAAGCAGUUUUCCCUCAUGCAAAUUCUCGUGUUAUAGCUUUCAAGACUUCAAAACAUUCAAGUUUAGAACUGACCAACCUCUAAAAACUAAUUUAUAGCUGUCUUUGUAAAGAAAUAUGCAGCCUUGGAGUCGUUGUGGUGACGCUGUAAAAUGUUUCCAGUGUGAAUACUCUGGUGCAUCUGCAGCUGCAGUGCACUGUAGUUACACUCACACACUGCUCAGGCGCUCCUCACACACAGCUCACACUUGCUGUGUGUAACAGGUGUUAGGCUUUCUUAUGGACAGGUACCUCAUUUGUCGUGAUGAUGCAAUGUCCGACUGCACUCAGGACUACAGACUAACAUUUGAGAGCAUUGUUCUACAGAUGGUGGCGCUGAGGGAUGAUGUGUGGGGGUAUUCAAAAUAAAGAUAAUUAAGGCCAUUUAAUCAUAAAAUUACUAUUGUUUUGCAUUAAUAAGUGGAGUUACUAAUAAUAUUUAAAUGUACAUUUCUUCAGCUAAAGGGGAAAUAUGAAUAAUCAAUCAUAUCUAGUUAUGAGUAAUUAUAAAUAUUUAGACCGCUGAAAGUAUUUACUUGACCUCUCAGUGUCAACUGUCUGUCAAUUCUAAGAAUGUUAAUUUCCUGGUUAAGGAAAAUAACUUUUACUGUACAGUACUACUCAGAGCAUGUAGCAAAAAUCUGCAUGAUUAGGGACUUCAGUUAUGAGCAAACAAUGCACAACCUCAAGUGCUUAGGUUGGUCUCUGCUGAAGUGAAUUGAUAAGACCAGUUCAAAUCAGAGGAUCUUGAUGAAUGUAUAGUCAAGGCCAAAGCCUGGCUUAAGCUAAGCAUGGUUUUUAAGGUCCUUAGCUCAUUAUCUUUUCCUGGAAUUCCUGAAUCUAGAAAAACCGCCUGAUCUGGUGAUCAGGGAUUUAUAUGGGGGGUGAUGUCCCACCCUCAGGAUUUGAAUGAGCUAGUGAGGAAUGGUACCUUUUAGAGGGAAGUUUUACAACUCUUUGUCUCUAGUCUGCAUAUGAAAUUAGAUUGGGGGUUCAACAGAAGAAUAUUUAAGAUUCUUAUUAAAUUAAUGUGUUGCAUAGGCAUCAACAUAUAAUAUACACACUAACUUAGAUCAUGAAAAUAAAAACUCAUAGAUACAAAACA
rnacentral:lncRNA from 1 species